rnacentral:snoRNA from 1 species
UGAUGAAAAUUCUCCGGAAUCUCUGAACUCGGUUGAUGAUUUGCUCGAACCCUUUUCCAGCUGAUGACUGUAGCUUGCAGU